rnacentral:lncRNA from 1 species
AAGUCAUGACUUAUCACAAUAUUUCUUAAUUUAAUUAAUUCAUUACUUUUUACAUUAAUAAAAAAUGUAAUUAAUAAAUGGAGGUGAACAGUUUGAUUAUAUGUUACAACAGAUAUGUUAUCUGAUGCAACAUAUUUGAUAUUUGUUGCAACAGAUAAUAUAUCUGUUUUCAUAGAUGUGUUAUCUGAUGCAACAAAUAUAGAAUCUGUUG